AGGAAAAAAAAAAAAAAAAGUACUCCGUAAAAAAAAAAUAAAAAAAGAAGAGAAGCUGGCCAGAAGUCUCAUCACUUCCGUUGGUGGAUCGGAUGCCAUUGUUGACGCCGUCUGGGAGACGAAAUUAUAAUCGAACUAUCGAUAAUUAGGCUUAGGAAUAAGCAGAAUGACGGCAGGGGAGUCGAUGAACGGCGGCGGGAUCGUCGCCGGAGGAGACGGAGACAUCGAGGGCGGGCAAUUGGUGGAGCUGGUGGAGGCGUCCCUGUUGCCUACUGACGCAAAAUCUGAUCCUCCUUCCGAUGCCGAGGCUCCCGCAGAUGAUGCUCCGGUUGGCAUUUCCGAUGAUCAAAUCACUCCAUUAUUGCCCAAAACGGAGAGGCCGAAGAUCAACAUCUUCACUAUCGCGUAUCCCAGGCGAAAGUCUAAUAAUAAGAUUUGGACCUCACAGGAGCAAGUAAUAAGAACAUCAGAAUCCGAUACAUCACCAUUUACGCAGUUUAUAAUAUGGGCAUGGAGUGGAUCAAGGUACUCUGGUCUGGUAUGCAUGGCCAUCUCAUCUGUAAUCUAUUGUACUAUGGAUGUUGUUUCAGAAUUUUUUUCAGGUCAAUCAAUUCCUCUUUUUGAGAUGGCGUUUACAAGAUGUACAUUGCUCUUGAUUCUGUCAUUUGUGUGGUUGAAGAGAACUGGACAGCCAAUUUUUGGCCCAAAGAAUGUCAAUACACUUAUGGCUUUAAGAGCUGUGAUUGGAUAUUUCUCAUUAUUAAGUUUCAUUUACUGCAUUCAAAGAUUGCCAUUGUCCCAGGCUAUUGUAUUGAGUUUUACCACUCCAAUCAUGGCUUCAGUUGUUGCUCGAUUUAUAUUGCAUGAAAAGUUGAAAAUCACAGAAAUUGGAGGUCUAGCCACCAGUUUCUUUGGUGUGCUCUUUCUUUUUCAACCAAUGGUCUUCACAAAAGGAGCUGUGCCAAAUGCUGUAGGCAUUAAUGAAUAUGUCCGUGGAAGCCAUCAUAUUUAUGCAGUUUUGGUUGGGCUAUGUUCAUCUAUUUUUGGUGGAGUUAGCUACUGUCUUACAAAGGCAGGAGCCAAGACAACUGAUCAACCAGUGCUUACAGUUUUUGCAUUUGGUCUAUUUGCAAGUCCUGCUGCUGGAAUAUGUACCUUUGCUUUCCAGAACUUUGUACUUCCCAGUUUCUAUUCUCUGAUUCUUAUGAUUGUCCUUGGGGUACUGGCUUUCUUCGCAGAGAUAACUCUAGCAAGAGGGCUUCAGCUCGAGAAAACAAGCAGAGUUGCCAAUGUCCUGUAUCUUGAGCUAAAGGAGAUUCACCGGAUAUUUUGAGAACACAAAUGUUGAUUGUACCAUACCAUUCAAAUCGCCCAAAAUGCUCCUAUCAUUGUUAUUAGGGAAAAUUACACUCGGGUAAUUGCAGCCCUUUCUCAGUUGUUGAGAAUGGGUACUUCAAGAAUGGCAUCCUUCGGUAGGUUAGUCGGAUGUUCACUAAUUGUAAUUUCCGCAAGUUGUACAAUGUAUUUUGGACCGGAAAGAGAUUGAAGGACAAUAAGCAGGCAAGCUCACCUUUGGUGCUACUAUACUUGUGCCCUUUUUGUGUUUGGUACCAUUGAUUUGAUGAGCAUAUGCUGGUUUUGGUAGGCAUUAAUUUGAUGAAUAUGCUGUGCUCAUUCUGUAAUGUACAUUCUGUCCAAUUUUAGAGUUGUUAUGUCUGUAAAUAUUGAGGCCAAAGUUGAUUUUGUUCAAAA